rnacentral:rRNA from 1 species
AGAAUCAACGCUGGCGGCGUGCCUAACACAUGCAAGUCGAACGAGGAAGGGGAGCAAUCCCUGAGUACAGUGGCGACCGGGUGAGUAACACGUGACUAACCUACCCUCGAGUGUGGAAUAACAUCGGGAAACCGAUGCUAAUACCGCAUAACAUCGCAAGAUCAAAGGAGUAAUCCGCUUGAGGAGGGGGUCGCGGCUGAUUAGCUAGUUGGCGGGUAAUGGCCCACCAAGGCGAAGAUCGGUA